rnacentral:rRNA from 1 species
AAUUAGCGGAUGACUUGUGGCUGGGGGUGAAAGGCCAAUCAAACCGGGAGAUAGCUGGUUCUCCCCGAAAGCUAUUUAGGUAGCGCCUCGUGAAUUCAUCUCCGGGGGUAGAGCACUGUUUCGGCAAGGGGGUCAUCCCGACUUACCAACCCGAUGCAAACUGCGAAUACCGGAGAAUGUUAUCACGGGAGACACACGGCGGGUGCUAACGUCCGUCGUGAAGAGGGAAACAACCCAGACCGCCAGCUAAGGUCCCAAAGUCAUGGUUAAGUGGGAAACGAUGUGGGAAGGCCCAGACAGCCAGGAUGUUGGCUUAGAAGCAGCCAUCAUUUAAAGAAAGCGUAAUAGCUCACUGGUCGAGUCGGCCUGCGCGGAAGAUGUAACGGGGCUAAACCAUGCACCGAAGCUGCGGCAGCGACACUAUGUGUUGUUGGGUA